rnacentral:lncRNA from 1 species
GGCCAAUGUUUAGAGACUGUGAAGAAAAAGACCAUGUCUAAAAUAUCCAGUGUGCCCUAAAUAGCACCAGGGCAAGCAUGACCAUGCACACAAUCCUACCGUGGCUGUAGUUCCAAUCACACAGAGAGGACUCUCAUUUGGAAAGAAAGAUCACAGAACUUUAUUAAGAUGGAAUCACUGCAAAUUACAUAGAAGCUACUGGACUAAGCCAAAAUCUAUGAGGUUCAUAUGAACUUACAGUUAUACAAAUAAGAAACAAAUGGCAUAUUCAAAACCAUAAAGAAAUAUCCUGAUGCCCAGGAUCUCAGGACCUGCUCAGCAUCUUUUGCUCAUCCUCCAGUCCCAUGUCUGGCUAUGGUUCCAGAGUCAACAUGAGCAGCAACAGCGACACCUAAUCCACUUCAGGAUCAAAAAGGAUUUGAAUAUUUUGUUUUGUUUUUUAUUUCUCUGUUUUGUUUUACUUGCUUUACUGCGAGUUACUUGAAAACUUUCAGAAUUCUAUUUUGCUUUAUACUGUUUUUGAACAUGUAGCUCUUUGAGUAGAUUUUGUGUAUAUGGCUGCUGUAGUAUUACACCGUAUAUACAAAAUAUCACAGUCUAAUGCUGUCAUUAUUUCAUCAGUUCAAGUGACAUAUAAGCACCUAUCUUUUUAUAAGUCAAUAUACCCCUCUCCGUUUACAAUUGUCUUGAUUUGUUUGUGGUCACCCUACAUAGGAUGAAUCUCUUUCAAAAUUUGAUUUAGAUGUCAAGACUAAUGAUACUAUAUUCACUCCAAGAGAAAAUGGAAUGGUUCAUGACUCAUAUAAUGAGGCUUUCUGAAAAGAGUACUGUGGCUCACAAGCAGUGCCAAAAAAUGGCUUGAGAGAGCAGACAAAAGCUUGGGGUAUUUAUGGCGGUUAGGGAGUAGUAGGGCCAGAGCAUAGGUUCCUGCAUGUGGUUCAAACCUCCCCUGGUUGAAGGAGGGAGAACCCAGGCUUUCUUAUCAGUUUGCCCAGACGUGAAGCAGAAACAGAAGGAGGAAGGAUGAGGCUUCAAAGCUGUCAACCAUCAAACGUCAAAAAAACUGGAUCAAGCUUUGUUACAUCAUUAUUUUAUCUACAUACAUGUAAAGUUUUUCUCUCCAUCUUUUAUGUUAAAUAGAUAUUUUCUAAUGUACCAUUUUAAUUCCCUUGUUUCCUUAAGAUUGUUUUUGAGUUAUUUUUCUUAGUGGUUGCUUUGGGGAUUAUACUUCAUUCUAACUUAAAACAAUCUAGUUCAAGUUAAUAGCAACUUAAUUUUAAUGGUAUAUAAAAACUUUUGCUUCCAUACAGCUCUAUUCUUUUCAUUUCUUUCUUUGUGCAAUUAUCAUCAUAGAAAUUACAUCUUUUUGUACAUCCAUUAACACAGUUUUAUAAUUAUUACUUUAUGGCAUUGACUUUUAAAUCAGAAAUGAGAAAAAAAGAAAAAACAUUAUGCUAUAUUUUAUAUUUAUCUAUGAGGUGCUUGUAUUUCUUCAUGUGGAUUUGACCUACUGAC